rnacentral:lncRNA from 1 species
CCUAGUCAUUAGUUGCCCCAUCCCAUCAUUUUCUUCGCUAUCGUCAUCGUCAUCGUAAUCACUAUUAUCUAUUAACCUAAAUGAAGUUACAAUGUUUCUUGCCACGUGACAAAAAAACCCUUCAUCCUCAUAAUAAUAAUAUAUAAUAUAAUGUAAUAAUCUAUUAAUCCCUCUCCUCCCCAACUAUACGUAAUGUUUUAUCAAUUAAUUCUAUAUUAACGUUUAAUCUAUUAAUUCUAUAUAUUUUUUUUAUAAUAACUCUCUCUCCCCCACCCCUUCCCCUCCCUUCUCAUCCUAGCUAUACGUUUUUGGCCGUAUAAUAUAUAAUUUAUUAAUAUUUUAUCAAUUAUUUGUAUAUUAACGUUUCAUCAAUUAAUAAUAAUUAUAAUCAUAAUUGAUUACUAGACCAACUUUAAAUACGUCUUUGCCUUUUCGUAGCCACCGUUUCGUUCUUUCAUUUUGCUAAUUUUUUUAUAAAAUUUUAAAAUAUAUUUACCUAAUAUGUAAAAUAAUUAUAUUUUAAAUUUAGGCUCUCAGUAUCAAUCAUUAUAAAAUUAAUUCU